GGUGUAAUAGUGGUGGGUCUGACCACUCUGGGCCUGACGGGCCCAGUGGCCUCCCCGCUCGCUCAGUCGGGCCAGCGCCCC
rnacentral:tRNA from 1 species